UACGUAGGCAGCAAGCGUUGUUCGGAGUUACUGGGCGUAAAGAGUGUGUAGGCGGUUUUCUAAGUUUGGUGUGAAAUCUCCCGCUUAACUGGGAGGGUGCGCCGAAGACUGGAAGGCUUGAGUAUGGGAGAGGAAAGCGGAAUUCCUGGUGUAGCGGUGAAAUGCGUAGAGAUCCGGAGGAACACCGACGGCGUAGGCAGCGCCCUAGACGAGACCUGACGCUCAGGCACGAAAGCGCGGGGAGCGAACAGGACUUAGG
rnacentral:rRNA from 1 species